rnacentral:rRNA from 1 species
UACGGGAGGCAGCAGUGGGGAAUAUUGGACAAUGGGCGAAAGCCUGAUCCAGCCAUGCCGCGUGUGUGAAGAAGGUCUUCGGAUUGUAAAGCACUUUAAGUUGGGAGGAAGGGUUGUAGAUUAAUACUCUGCAAUUUUGACGUUACCGACAGAAUAAGCACCGGCUAACUCUGUGCCAGCAGCCGCGGUAA